AAGUCGUAACAAGGUAACCGUAGGUGAACCUGCGGUUGGAUCAUUAAAAAAUUAUAAAGAGGUUGACCAAAAAUCAGCCUUCUUUUUACAUUUGUGAACUGUUUAUUGUCUCUUGUGGGAAACCACAUGUAAACCUAGAAGUAAAAUUAGUCUCUAAAAGUAUAAAUUAAAAACAACUUUUGACAACGGAUCUCUAGGCUCUC
rnacentral:misc_RNA from 1 species